rnacentral:rRNA from 1 species
AGCAGCCGCGGUAAUUCCAGCUCCAAUAGCGUAUAUUAAAGUUGUUGCAGUUAAAAAGCUCGUAGUUGAAUUUCGGGAUCAAUAUGUCGGUCGUGCCUUCGGUACGUACUGGUAUCAUUGGUCUCUCCUUUCUGACGAACCAUGAUGUCAUUAAUUUGGUGUUAUGGGGAGUUAGGACUGUUACUUUGAAAAAUUAGAGUGUUUAAAGCAGGCUUUAGCUUGAAUACAUUAGCAUGGAAUAAUGAAAUAGGACGUUCGAACCUAUUUUGUUGGUUUCUAGGAUCAACGUAAUGAUUAAUAGGGAUAGUUGGGGGCAUUAGUAUUCAAUUGUCAGAGGUGAAAUUCUUGGAUUUAUUGAAGACUAACUACUGCGAAAGCAUUUGCCAAGGAUGUUUUCAUUAAUCAAGAACGAAAGUUAGGGGAUCGAAGACGAUCAGAUACCGUCGUAGUCUUAACCAUAAACUAUGCCGACUAGGGAUCGGAUGAUGUUAAUUUUUAAUGUACUC